GCAGUGAUGGUUCAGUGGUAGAAUUCUUGCCUUCCUUGCAGGAGACUGGGGUUCGAGUCCUGGACAAUGCA
rnacentral:tRNA from 1 species